rnacentral:rRNA from 1 species
UAGGGAAUCUUCCACAAUGGGCGAAAGCCUGAUGGAGCAACGCCGCGUGUGUGAUGAAGGGUUUCGGCUCGUAAAACGCUGUUGUAAGAGAAGAAUGACAUUGAGGGUAACUGUUCAAUGUGUGACGGUAUCUUACCAGAAAGGAACGGCUAAAUACGUGUCAG